UCCCUGGUGGUCCAGUGGGUAGGACUCUGAGCUUUCACUGCAGGGGGCACAGGUUCGAUCCCUGGUCAGGGAG
rfam:Ovis aries breed Texel chromosome 11, whole genome shotgun sequence.